UACAGGGGGUGCAAACGUUGCUCGGAAUUAUUGGGCGUAAAGCGCGCGUAGGCGGCUACUUAAGUCGGAUGUGAAAGCCCUUGGCUCAACUGAGGAAGUGCACCCGAAACUGAGUGGCUAGAGUACGAAAGAGGGUCGCGGAAUUCCCGGUGUAGAGGUGAAAUUCGUAGAUAUCGGGAGGAACACCGGUGGCGAAGGCGGCGACCUGGGUCGAUACUGACGCUGAUGCGCGAAAGCGUGGGGAGCAAACGGG
rnacentral:rRNA from 1 species